AAUUCGAUUGAGUUUGAUCAUGGCUCAGGACGAACGCUGGCGGCGUGCUUAACACAUGCAAGUCGAACGGUGAUGAGGAGCUUGCUUCUCUGAUCAGUGGCGAACGGGUGAGUAACACGUGAGCAAUCUGCCCUUGACUCUGGGAUAAGCGUUGGAAACGACGUCUAAUACCGGAUACGACUCUUGGAGGCAUCUCUGGGGGUGGAAAGAAUUUUGGUUAAGGAUGAGCUCGCGGCCUAUCAGCUUGUUGGUGAGGUAAUGGCUCACCAAGGCGACGACGGGUAGCCGGCCUGAGAGGGUGACCGGCCACACUGGGACUGAGACACGGCCCAGACUCCUACGGGAGGCAGCAGUGGGGAAUAUUGCACAAUGGGCGAAAGCCUGAUGCAGCAACGCCGCGUGAGGGACGACGGCCUUCGGGUUGUAAACCUCUUUUAGUAGGGAAGAAGCGUAACAGUGACGGUACCUGCAGAAAAAGCACCGGCUAACUACGUGCCAGCAGCCGCGGUAAUACGUAGGGUGCAAGCGUUGUCCGGAAUUAUUGGGCGUAAAGAGCUCGUAGGCGGUUUGUCGCGUCUGCUGUGAAAACCCGAGGCUCAACCUCGGGCCUGCAGUGGGUACGGGCAGA
rnacentral:rRNA from 1 species